CCCUUAGAUGUUCUGGGCCGCACGCGUGCUACACUGACCGGCGCAACAAGUUUCUUUCCUUGGCUCGAUAGGCCUGGGUAAUCUUUGAACGCCGGUCGUGAUGGGGAUAGAUCCUUGCAAUUUUUGAUCUUCAACGAGGAAUUCCUAGUAAAUGCGAGUCAUCAUCUCGCGUUGAUUACGUCCCUGCCCUUUGUACACACCGCCCGUCGCACCUACCGAUUGAAUGGUCCGGUGAAUCUUUAGGACUGUGGCUGAGGCCUUGCCUUGUGCGGGUCUGGCCGUGGGAAUUUAGUUAAACCUUACCAUUUAGAGGAAGGUGAAGUCGUAACA
rnacentral:rRNA from 1 species